UUUUUUUUUCUCUUUUCUUUUUUCUGACCACAAAGAUCCAGAAGGUAUCUACAGUUGGUUUGAAAGUUCUAUUUUAUGCUUCUGGAGGUUUCCCCUAACUUACCUACACUCACAUUUAUACUUUUUACAUACAUAAUCACAAGGUCCCACAAUAGGCUGUCUGCAAGCUGAGGAGCGAGGAGAGCCAGUCCAAGUCCUAAAACUGAAGAACCUGGGUCCAGUGUUUGAGGGCAGGAAGCAUCCAACAUAGGAGAAAGAUGUAGCCUGUGGUUGUUUCUCCAGUGCCAGAAUGCAUAAUUGGCAUAGACAUACUUAGCAGCUGGCAGAACCCCCACAUUUGCUCCCUGACUGGUAGGGUGAGGGCUAUUAUGGUGGGAAAGGCCAAAUGGAAGCCAUUAGAGCUGCCAUUAGAGCCAUUAGAGCUCCACAGAUUAGAAAUGGAAUCUGUGGAUUCUAAUGGAAGCCAUUCGAGCUCCACAGAUUAGAAACUAAUCUGUAGAGAUUAGUUUCACCAUCAAGGACUUGAAAGAUGCAGGAGUGGUGAUUCCCACCACAUCCUCGUUUAACUCUCUUAUUUGACUUGUGCAGAGGACAGAUGGAUCUUGGAGAAUGACAGUGGAUUAUCAUAAGCUUAACCAAGUUAUGACUCCAAUUGCAGCUGCUAUACCAGAUAUGGUUUCAUUGCUUGAGCAAAUUAACAUGUCUCCUGGUACCUGGUAUGCAGCCAUUGAUUUGGCAAAUGCUUUUUCUCCAUACCUGUCCAUAAGGCCCAUGAGAAACAAUUUGCCUUCAGUUGGCAGGGCCAGCAACAUACCUUUAGUGUCCUACCUCAGUGGUAUAUCAAGUCUCCGGCUUCGUGUCAUAAUCUUGUUUGGAGAGACUUUGAUCGAUUUUCUUUUCCACAAGAUAUCACACUAGUCCAUUACAUUGAUAUCAUUAUGCUGAUUGGAUCCAGUGAGUGAGAAGUAGCAAACACACUGGCCUUAUUGGUGAGACAUUUGUGUGCCAGAGGAUGGGAAAUAAAUCUGACUAAAAUUCGGGGACCUUCUAUCUCAGUAAGAUUUCUAGGGGUUCAGUGGUGUGAAGCCUGUCAAGAUAUUCCUUCUAAGGUGAAGAAUAAGUUGCUGCAUUUGGUCCCUCCUGCAACUAAGAAAGAGGCACAAUGCCUACUGGGCCUAUUUGGAUUAUGGAGGCAACACAUUCCUCACAUGGGUGUGUUACUCUGGUCCAUUUAUUCAGUGACCCAAAAGGCUGCCAGUUUAUAUUGGGGUCCAGAACACAGAAGGUUCUGCAACAGAUCCAGGCU
rnacentral:lncRNA from 1 species